GACGAACGCUGGCGGCGUGCCUAAUACAUGCAAGUAGAACGCAGUUGCGAACGGGUGAGUAACGCGUAGGUAACUGCCUCAUAGCGGGGGAUAACUAUUGGAAACGAUAGCUAAUACCGCAUACUGUGAGAUGGACCUGCGUUGUAUUAGCUAGUUGGUGGGGUAAAGGCUCACCAAGGCGACGAUACAUAGCCGACCUGGGAGGGUGAUCGGCGCAAGUGGGACUGGGACAAGGGCCAGAAGCCUCGGGGAGGCCACAGUAGGGAAUCUUCGGUGAUGGAGGGAAGUCUGACCGAGCAAUGCCGCGUUAGUGAAGAAGGUUUUCGGAUCGGAAAGCUGUGGUGUUAGAGAAGCGGGAACUACCAAGAAAGGGACGGCUAACUACGUGCCAGCAGCCGCGGUAAUUC
rnacentral:rRNA from 1 species